rnacentral:rRNA from 1 species
ACGGGGCGCAGCAGGCGCGAAAACUUUACAAUGCGGGAAACCGCGAUAAGGGGAUACCGAGUGCCAGCAUAUUAUGUUGGCUGUCCACAUGUGUAAACGGCAUGUGCUAGCAAGGGCCGGGCAAGACCGGUGCCAGCCGCCGCGGUAACACCGGCGGCCCGAGUGGUAAUCAUUUUUAUUGGGUCUAAAGGGUCCGUAGCCGGUUUGAUCAGUUCUUCGGGAAAUCUGACAGCUCAACUGUUAGGCUUCCGGGGAAUACUGUCAGACUUGGGACCGGGAGAGGUAAGAGGUACUACAGGGGUAGGAGUGAAAUCUUGUAAUCCCUGUGGGACCACCAGUGGCGAAGGCGUCUUACCAGAACGGGUCCGACGGUGAGGGACGAAAGCUGGGGGCACGAACCGGAUUAGAUACCCGGGUAGUCCCAGCCGUAAACGAUGUUCGCUAGGUGUCAGGGACGGUGCGACCGUUUCUGGUGCCGUAGGGAAGCCGUGAAGCGAGCC